rnacentral:lncRNA from 1 species
AUGAAAUUUAAGGUAACCUAAGUCUGUGUUCCUGGGCAUGGUCACUCAUAUUUGGCUCCAGAACAAACUUUCUCUUAGUCAUUUAAAGAAAAUAAAUAAUUGUGUAGUAACCAUAGGUGCAAGUUUAGAUUUUUUUAUUUUCUGUGCUAAAAUACGGCCAAUGAAAAGUUAUCCUCACCUACAUGUAUUAGUUGUCAGUGUAGUUUUACACACUUUCUUUUUCUUAUUUUAUUCAACUUCUUAUUGAUUCUUUAUGAGUUUCACAUCAUCUAACCCAAUCCCAGUCAUCUCCCUGUCCCUUUGUACCUGCCCUCCAUCCCUGCAACCUUCCCCCCUAAAAACAGAAAACCCCCAAAACAAACAAACCUUGUUGUAGAAACUGCAGUGUGUCACUGUGUCCCACAGUGUAUACCCUUUCAUCCACACUUCUUCACUUGCAAAUGGUCAUUGCAAAGAGUCUGUGGUCUGGUUCAAGGCCUCUGGCUUCCCCCUAUAUCAGUGCUGGCCCCUUCACAUGCUUCAGCACUUCUUAGAUGAGGUAGAUGUUGGCUGGGCCAACUCAAAGCCCUUGAUCUGGGCCUGUGUGGUAGCUGAGUUGGUCAGCCCACCAGCCCUCAGCAUCCACACCACCAGGUCAAGCUCUCCAGCACUGCCCCAGCUAGCUUACCCAAUGCACUGGCUACACCAUAAUGAAUGCAGUCAGUUGUCUGGUGUAAUCAGUUGCAGUCCUGUGUCAUCGGGCAGAAUCUUGACAUUGCUGUACACUAUCUUACUAGUUUGCUAGUAGAACGCUUCUUGCAGUGCUUGACGACAGACAAACAGACAAACAGAAAACAACUGAGUGAUCGGGUGGCAUUAGCAGAACUAAGACAAGCCUCCUGACAAAACCUGAAACCUAGAGCCCAGAUCUUAUGCCAUGGCUUCGAACAGGCACUGCUGUUGGGAUAGCUCUGCAGAAACCAGCGUGUCGGGUCAGGGUUCUGGGUGACAAAGGUAUAAACAAUGUCCUUGAUUUUGUGUACAACUGAUCCUUAGAGCAGUCAAGUUAUUGGCAGUUUUACUAAUACACAGUGCUUCCAUUGCUGACUUUAGCUGAGUGGUUCAUUACAGUAAAAGUGAACGGUUGCAUCACGGUAGCUUCUCCAACGUCUGUAUGAUUUCACACAGGUGUUGGUGAGGAAUGCAGAGACUCAUGGUGAUAAAAGAAUUUUGGAACUGAAUCGGAAGCUGUCAGCCCAGUGAUCGUGGAUUGUGAGACUUAAGUAAGGAACCGAUGAAAAUACUUACAGAUGAGGCAAUGAAUCAAGAGUUCUCACCAGAACAGCGUAUUUUAAAGUUAUAGUUGUAUCAGCUAGGUGUGGUGGUGCACCAGUUUAGCCCUGGCACUUGGGAGGCAGAGGUGGGUGGAUCUCUGUGAGUUCCAGGCCAUCAUGAUCCGCAUGGGGUUCCAGGCCAGCCAUCUGGACACAAUGAAAUCCCAUCUUG